UAACCUGCCCAAGAGAUCGGGAUAACACCUGGAAACAGAUGCUAAUACCGGAUAACAACAGAUGAUGCCUAUCAACUGUUUAAAAGAUGGUUCUGCUAUCACUCUUGGAUGGACCUGCGGUGCAUUAGCUAGUUGGUAGGGUAACGGCCCACCAAGGCGAUGAUGCAUAGCCGAGUUGAGAGACUGAUCGGCCACAUUGGGACUGAGACACGGCCCAAACUCCUACGGGAGGCAGCAGUC
rnacentral:rRNA from 1 species